UGUGCCCUACGGGGGGCAGCAGUGGGGAAUAUUGCACAAUGGGGGGAACCCUGAUGCAGCGACGCCGCGUGGGUGAGGAAGUAGUUCGGUAUGUAAAGCCCUAUCAGCAGGGAAGAAAAUGACGGUACCUGAUUAAGAAGCCCCGGCUAACUACGUGCCAGCAGCCGCGGUAAUACGUAGGGGGCAAGCGUUAUCCGGAUUUACUGGGUGUAAAGGGAGCGUAGGUGGCAGGGCAAGUCAGAUGUGAAAACCCGGGGCUCAACCCCGGGAGUGCAUUUGAA
rnacentral:rRNA from 1 species